UACGUAGGGUGCGAGCGUUGUCCGGAAUUACUGGGCGGAAAGAGCUCGUAGGUGGUUUGUCGCGUUGUUCGUGAAAACCUGAGGCUUAACCUUGGGCGUGCGGGCGAUACGGGCAGACUGGAGUACUGCAGGGGAGACUGGAAUUCCUGGUGUAGCGGUGGAAUGCGCAGAUAUCAGGAGGAACACCGGUGGCGAAGGCGGGUCUCUGGGCAGUAACUGACGCUGAGGAGCGAAAGCGUGGGGAGCGAACAGG
rnacentral:rRNA from 1 species